rnacentral:rRNA from 1 species
GACGAACGCUGGCGGCGUGCUUAACACAUGCAAGUCGAACGGAAAGGCCCUGCUUUUGUGGGGUGCCCGAGUCGCGAACGGGUGUGUAACACGUGAGUAACCUGCCCUUGACUUUGUGAUAACUUCAGGAAACUGGGGCUAAUACCUGAUAGGAGCUCCUGAUGCAGGGUGAGGGUUGGACAUUUUGGGCGGGGGGGGAUGGACGGGUGGGUUAUGAGCUGGUUGGUUGGGUAGUGGCUUACGAAGUGUUUGACGGGUGGCCGGCACGGGAGGGUGGCCAGGCACAUGGGGACUAGGAUAAGGACCAGACGGGUACAGGAGGCAGCAGUGGGGAAUAUUGUACAGUGGUCGGAAGCGUGAUGAGAAAGCGCCGCGUGCGGAAUGACGUCUUUCGGGGUAUAAACCGCUUUAGCCUGAGACGAAGCGGGAUUGACGGUAAUGGGAAAAGAAGCACCGGCUAACUACGUG